rnacentral:rRNA from 1 species
GACAGAGGUGCCAAGCGUUAGGCGGAAUCACUGGGCUUAAAGCGUGUGUAGGCGGAUCGUUAAGUACCUUGUGAAAGUCCAGGGCUCAACCCUGGGAUGCCGGUCGAUACUGCCGGACUAGAGUUCGGAAGAGGCGAGUGGAAUUCCCGGUGUAGCGGUGAAAUGCGCAGAUAUCGGGAGGAACACCUAUGGCGAAGGCAGCUCGCUGGGACGUUACUGACGCUGAGACGCGAAAGCGUGGGGAGCAAACAGG